GGGGGUAUAGCUUAGUUGGUAGAGCGUCUGCUUUGCACGCAGAAGGUCAGCGGUUCGAAUCCGCUUACCUCCA
rnacentral:tRNA from 1 species